GUUAUUAUUCAUAAUUUACGAGAGAGAGAGAGAGCAAGAGAGAGAGAGAGAGAGAGAGAGAGAGAGAGAGAGAGAGAGAGAGAGAGAGAGAGAGAGAGAGAGAGAGAGAGAGAGAGAGAGAGAGAGAGAGAGAGAGAGAGAGAGAGAGAGAGAGAGAGAGAGAGAGAGAGAGAGAGAGAGAGAGAGAGAGAGAGCCCAGCUGUCAAACAGGGAAACGGUCAAUGUGGAAAAGACAAAGAACAUGGCGAGAGAUACCGGGUUUAUUCAAGCCAAAUUAAAAUAUGAACGCAUAGUAUAAAGAGCCUCCUUAAAAAACAAUCGGCACUUUUACUGGAGACAUAAGUUUAGGAGUACGUACCGCAGGGGUCAAAUGAUUUACCCUUCACUUGUGUUCAGUAACAUUCUGAGAGAGAUGACCUUGCUGUGACUCACUCUGGUUUGAGCUACCUGAGCUCAUUACGGUGUCCUGCUGAUGUACCAUAAAAACAAAGCUUUCCCCAGUCGUGAUGACGUCAUAUUCCAAUGACAGACAAGGACCAAUCAAAACACAAGACCGUUAUGCAGUUCCAUCCCAAAAACCAGGCCUGUGUCAUACUUCGAGGUGCUGGACUCUGGGGGAGAGCAAGCAGAUUUACAUUGGAAGUGUGAGGCGGCCUUCCAGGUUAUAUUCAGCCCUGAGACCUUCUGCCAUACCUUCAGAGUCAUACUCUGAAAAGGUUUUGUAGCAAAGUCUAACUAACUUUUUAUGUACAAUGAUUUUUUGUUUUGUUUUGUUUUCCAAGUAGGCUAUAUCUCCUAGCUAAAAGGGAGUAUUGUCAGCAAGCUCACUUUAUUAGUCUUCUAAGGUUGUGUAUUUCUUUGCUAAGUUUUGUUUUGUGUUGGCUCCCACGUAUCAAGUAUCAGGAGACACUAUCCCAGACUAUCACGUUAGUGCUGUGGCUGCUCUGCAAACAGAGAAUGUGGACUGACUCAAUGUCUCUGUUUGCUCAGGGGAUUAUUCCAGAGACUCCCUUCCAAUAAAGGAAAUGGUCUGGUGAAUGUAAAAGCUCUCAUUCAAGAUCGUUCACAUUCACAGGGGAAGCUACAUCCUUGCGUAAAUUGGUAGAAAGAGAGUUCAUUUGUUCCUCACUGUAACAAUGACACUUAUCAUUGGGAGAUGGUUUCAGCUACUCCUAAAGGGUAUUUCAAGUUCAGGUUCUCCUGCUCAUAACGUAGCAUGACUUCAAAGAAAGCCCCUGCUGUGCUAAUCAAUGUUGAUUUAUCUUUCACUGGAAAAUGCACCUUGCAGUCUUUCUUCACAGAAAGCUAGAACAGAGCAGCUUUAUCCCAAAGAAUGAGGAAAAAAGACAUGUUGCUGACAUGGCUCCCCAUUUGAAGGCAGGCUUGUGAAUACUAUGAAGGAGCUGUUAACGUGCCAACACACUUCAAAGCUGCAGUGCAAGGCUGGGCUAGGGAAGGCAGUAUGUGUUGAAAUUCCUGUUUUUAAUGUAGCUAGAAGGGGGCUUGAACAGAGAACCCAUCAAUAAGCCUCCUAAUGCAAUAGUCAUGUUUUUUCUGUUUAUAUAAAUUUUUAGAUCGGAAAGUGUUUUGUGUAUACAGUGGCGCAAAAUAUAGACAGUAAACCUUUCUUUUUAAAUUUUAGUAACAAUAGUUUUAAUUUGUGUGUGAGUGAUAUAUAUAUAUAUAUAUAUAUACACACACACACACACACUAUCCUAUUUGUGUUCUAAUAUCACUACUGUAAUCUUGGACUAACGUAAGUUUAGUGCUAAUCAGGAUUUUUAUGUGUAAUACUAAAUCUCAAACAUUCUAAUGGGAUUUUUCAGAAAUUGACAAUUCCGAGUGACAGGCAGUGUAAACAUCCUACACUUAGCUUUGGAAAGUGAAGAGGCUGGGAGGAGGGUGUUUAUGCUGUUUGCCUUGGAAAAGCAGCGAAUGAGGAAAUGGACUGGUGCCGUUUUCAUCAUUUAUCAUCAUUUAGUUUGUCUUUCAUCAUUUAGUUUGUAUUCUGAUUUUUUUUUGUCUCACAUUUCCAUCAGAGAUUACUAUAAAAUAGCAAAUAAGACCAAUCAUACAGCAGUUGUGAAUAUGUGCUUGUCUGCACUAAAUCAAAUCUAAAAUGCAUUAAAUCGAAUCUAAAGGUUUUCUAGAAGUCACUAAACAUUGUAAGUUGUGGCAGAUCAGAGUGACUGCAGAAAAUGGGUGCAAUGCAGCUCUGUCUUAGUGGGUUUCAAUGUAACUUUAUAUUGCUGCAUUAUUAUUAUUAUGAAGAAGAAGAAGAAGAAGAAGAAGAACAUAAGAAAGUUUACAAAUAAGAGGAGGCCCAUCUUGCUUGUUAGUAGCUUAUUGAUCCCAGAAUCUCAUCAAGCAGCUUCUUGAAGGAUCCCAGGGUGUCAGCUUCAACAACAUUACUGGGGAGUUGGUUCCAGACCCUCACAAUUCUCUGUGUAAAAAAGUACCUCCUAUUUUCUGUUUUGGAUGCCCCUUUAUCUAAUCUCCAUUUGUGACACCUGGUCCUUGUUUCUUUUAUUAUUAUUAUUAUUAUUAUUAUUAUUAUUAUUAUUAUUAUUAUUAUUAUUAUUGAAUUAUUAUUAUUAUUAUUAUUAUGAGUGUGUGUAAGUAUAUUUCUGUAUGUAUAUGUGUGUAUAUAUUUUUAUUAUACUGUUUGAAUAUGUUAUUUAGAUGGCAUGAUUGUGGUAGAUGAGUAAUAUGUUUUACAAAUGUAUUGUGGUUUUAUUUAUUUAUUUUUUUACUAUGUACUGUACAAUGCUUUGAGAGACUUCUGUAUAAAAAGCGCUAUAAAAAAUGCAGAUAAAUGAUAGGCAGCUGUACAGUGUUUGGUGCCAAAUCGUGAGGUUCCCAGUUUGUUUUCCAGUCACUUCUGUGCCAUCAAAUCUCGAAAGCCCGGUCAUACACAACUAUUGUGGUCUCAGUGGCCAAGAGAUCCUUCAACCCAGAGUUUUAGUGAAUGUAUUAAAUAUCACUGACAGAAGGAAGGAGUAGUUAAAGACACUCCCUGCACAGUUUUGGACUUGGCUCUCUCUCCCCAUAACGAAAGAGGAAACUUUAAUCAGACACUCCCAGGCCCCCGGACAGGACGCUCCUCUCCCUGCCCUAUUGAGACUGAGUUACACACUUGACCUUUCCACUUCAUUGGCAUCUCCUACUCUGGGACUUUUUCAUUUCCUGUGUCCUAAAAAAGUAUUUUGCUUGGCUUAAUUGCAAUCCUGUUUAAUACAAUUGUGGGGUAUUUACAAUGAGUUAACUCCUUUUUAACUUUACCCUAGGAUGACUAAUUAAAUAGGUUCUUAUACUAGAAAAGCGGUGUGCAGUUUUGGAGUAAAGUUAUCUUUUAGUUGAAAGAAAGUUAUUAGAAAUUUGACAAACAUUUGCUAAUUCUUUGCAAAGCAUGAUUUAAAAACAUUACGUACACUAGGUUUUGUCCUAUUGAAUUUACUCAUUCUUUUUAUACCUGUUUGAAAGAGAUUUGGUUUCUCAACUCCACUCAUUCCCUAUCCACACUUGAGUGCUGUUUAAACCCGUGGCUCUAUGAGGACUGAAAAACUAAUGGGAGUUGUUCAUGGGAUACGGGCAAUUAUACAAAUUGUUCCAGCCAAAUUGUUAUAAUGCAAAGGCGUAGUUUUAACUUCACUUUCUCUUGACUUUGACAGAAUUAGAAAAAUGUGUUUUGUUUUUCUUUUAACAGAUGUGGAGUUCUUUGGGCAUUCUGGAGUGGCUCUUGGUUUUCAAUCAAAAACACCCAGUGGAGUCCUUGUCAUUAUUUCCAUUUAUAUACAUGUGUAGGCAUAGUUUAAUAGUGUGUACUGUAUUUAUGUUCCUGUAGAACUGGUGCGUGUUUACAGUUUGAUAGACACAUUGUUCAUACUUGAAAAUAAAGGCAUGUUAAAAGUUG